AAGGACUUAAAAACCAAAGAAAACAGAUGAACAAACACAACAAGAAAAUAAAAUGGAUGUACAGUCUUCAGUGAUUAUGUAUUAUAGAAACAAUGAAAAGCAUUCACUGUGUUAAAAGGACUUGAAAAUAGGAAGAAAUCUGCAAAAAAGACAAUGGAUAUGAAGCGACCGAAUAGAACUUGGUGCAUAGCAAGUGCUCACAAAACCGGAGCUGAAAUUUGGAGUCAGGGAAGCAAAGGAUUGUUUGGACAGAGAUGAAAACAAGAUCAAAGUUGCACGACCAGGGUCUUUGGAUAAAAGCUGACCGAAGAGGAGAAGGACCACGUACCAGCUCUCCAGCCUAGAUCUGGGGAUGUGACUUGAGCAAACAAUGACCAGGAGGGAGAUCUUGACGAACCAGCAAGCAAAACUCUUAUUUGUGAAUCAUUUACAUAUUGUUUCUAGGUAACUCUUCAUUUCAUUUUCCUUUACAUUUGCCCUGUUCUUAAAUUCUCAUAAA